rnacentral:tRNA from 1 species
GCCUGGGUGGCUCAGUCGGUUAAGCAUCUGACUUCUGCUCAGGUCAUGAUCUCACGGUCUGUGAGUUCGAGCCCCACGUCGGGCU